CGCUGAGGUGUUAUACAGGGGCAGCAUGUUGGUAUCAACAAGCUGGAAGAACACAUAGUUGCAGCACUGCCAAGGUGGAUCCUAUACAUGGAGAUGCUAUUUGGGCUUCCUUAGUGAAUUUCUACAUGCCCCGUUGUUAAUGUGUAUAGGCGGGUACCACUCUCUAACACUGCAUGUGCUAAGCCUAUGUUGGAGUGCAACCCUUCCUUCAAUUAUCACCGUCUUUCCACUGUGUGUUUUACCUGCACAAUGUAAACAUCGGUCUCAGACGUCCAUCACAGGAUACCACAAUGGGGCAGCAGGACACAGCUCUUCACCAGCUAUAGAACAGCCCAAGACUCACUAAAACAACACCUGACAUCUUUCCAAUAAACCGUGAAGAUCUGGGUUAGAACUGAUCUUCAGUCACCUAUGCUUGUGGUAAGAGCCGACUAAC